GACGAACGCUGGCGGCGUGCUUAACACAUGCAAGUCGAACGGUGAACCUCUUCGGAGGGGAUCAGUGGCGAACGGGAGUAACACGUGGGCAACCUGCCCCCGGCUCUGGGAUAACUCCAAGAAAUUGGGGCUAAUACCGGAUGUUCACCGCUUCCCGCAUGGGUGGUGGUGGAAAGGGUUUCCGGCUGGGGAUGGGCCCGCGGCCUAUCAGCUUGUUGGUGGGGUAGUGGCCUACCAAGGCGACGACGGGUAGCCGGCCUGAGAGGGUGACCGGCCACACUGGGACUGAGACACGGCCCAGACUCCUACGGGAGGCAGCAGUGGGGAAUAUUGCGCAAUGGGCGGAAGCCUGACGCAGCGACGCCGCGUGGGGGAUGACGGCCUUCGGGUUGUAAACCUCUUUCAGCAGGGACGAAGCGCAAGUGACGGUACCUGCAGAAGAAGCACCGGCCAACUACGUG
rnacentral:rRNA from 1 species